rnacentral:tRNA from 1 species
GGGAUCUUAGCUCAGCUGGGAGAGCAUCUGCCUUACAAGCAGAGGGUCAUAGGUUCGAGCCCUAUAUGUCCCA